UCCCUCUCAAAUGUCCUCUACAACUUCAUCUCCUCCAACAUAUCAUCACACUCUCUCGAUUUAUAUGUGCAGACAACAACACACCCACAAUCAAACAACCGUAUACCCCUGUUCUCUCACUUCCUUCUCUCAUCUGUCAAGUACUAGUCCGGCGACCGGAGAGAAGUCCGGCCGGCGCCGUUAACCAGCUGACAACACCCCCUAAACCUCCCCUCAACAUCACCUUCUUGUACCCGUUCACACACUCAUCGGAUAUAGAGAGAGAGAGUAGAGAGGGAGAAAUAGGCUGAUGAGAGAGAGAGAGAUCAGCGAGGAGAGCAGCACCGCCGUCAACGGCGACGGCAAUGAUGUUUGUUCUCUCUUUUGCUCCGACGAGUUCCGAUGAUGAUGGUGGUGACGGCGGCGGCGAGGCCGUUCGGGGUCGGGCACGACGGGGUCAGCGGUGGUGGUUCGCGACUCGGGAUCGGAAUUAUUACGAUGGAACUCGUCCCGCUCGGUUGACGAUAUAAAUAAGGAUGCCCGGAAUCUAGUAGGAUUUUCCUAGAAACGCAUUUAAACUUUAAUGCUUAUUAUAUUGUAUUUUACUUCCAAACUUGAUGGAUUUGGUAUCUAAAUUAUGUACUACAUUACAUAAAUGAAAGAAAGGUUUAUUAUUUGAC